UGUCCCUGGAUGUGAGAACUGUUAUAAUAUAAUCUGUUUCCUGUAGAGCCGUCCAUGUCCCUGGAUGUGAGAACUGUUAUAAUAUAAUCUGUUUCCUGUAGAGCCGUCCAUGCCCCUGGAUGUGAGAACUGUUAUAAUAUAAUCUGUUUCCUGUAGAGCCGUCCAUGCCCCUGGAUGUGAGAACUGUUAUAAUAUAAUCUGUUUCCUGUAGAGCCGUCCAUGCCCCUGGAUGUGAGAACUGUUAUAAUAUAAUCUGUUUCCUGUAGAGCCGUCCAUGCCCCUGGAUGUGAGAACUGUUAUAAUAUAAUCUGUUUCCUGUAGAGCCGUCCAUGCCCCUGGAUGUGAGAACUGUUAUAAUAUAAUCUGUUUCCUGUAGAGCCGUCCAUGCCCCUGGAUGUGAGAACUGUUAUAAUAUAAUCUGUUUCCUGUAGAGCCGUCCA